CAAGGAACUAAGAGUUUAUGGGGGAUACCUUGGCAUUCAGAAGCGAUGAAGGACGUGGUUACCGACGAAACGCUUCGGGGAGCUGGAAACAAGCUACGAUCCGGAGGUGUCCGAAUGAGGAAACUUUAAUAAUAACUGCUUAUUGAAUUCAUAGAUAAGUAAGAGCGAACCUAGGGAAUUGAAACAUCUUAGUACCUAGAGGAAGAGAAAGUAAAAACGAUUCCCUAAGUAGCGGCGAGCGAAACGGGAACAGCCUAAACUCAAUUCUAAAUUGAGGGUAGUGGGACAAUUAUAAAAUGAUACUGUAACAAUUAGAAGAACAAGUUUGGAAUACUUGACCAUAGAGAGUGAUAGUCUCGUAUUCGAAAAUUGAAACAAUCAAAUUGUAUCCCAAGUAGCAUGGAGCACGUGAAAUUCCGUGUGAAUCUGCGAGGACCACCUCGUAAGGCUAAAUAUUCCUGAAUGACCGAUAGUGAAACAGUACCGUGAGGGAAAGGUGAAAAGAACCCCGGGAGGGGAGUGAAAAGAACAUGAAACCGUAAACUUACAAGCAGUAGGAGGACGACUAAAACGUCUGACUGCGUGCCUGUUGAAGAAUGAGCCGGCGACUUAUAAGUAGUGGCAGGUUAAAGCAGUGAAUGCUGAAGCCACAGUGAAAGCGAGCCUGAAUAGGGCGUUUGUCACUAGUUAUAGACCCGAACCCGGGUGAUCUAACCAUGGUCAGGUUGAAGCUUAGGUAAUACUAAGUGGAGGACCGAACCGACUGAUGUUGAAAAAUCAGCGGAUGAAUUGUGGUUAGGGGUGAAAUGCCAAUCGAACUCGGAGCUAGCUGGUUCUCCCCGAAAUGCGUUUUGGCGCAGCGGUAGAUGUUAUAGCUUAGGGGUAAAGCACUGUUACGUAUGCGGGCUGGUAAUUCGGUACCAAAUCGUUGCAAACUAAGAAUACUAAGUGUACAGUCUACCAGUAAGACUGUGGGGGAUAAGCUCCAUUGUCAAGAGGGAAACAGCCCAGAGCACCAGUUAAGGCCCUUAAAUAAUUACUAAGUGAUAAAGGAGGUGGGAGUGCAUAAACAAUCAGGAGGUUUGCUUAGAAGCAGCAAUCCUUUAAAGAGUGCGUAAUAGCUCACUGAUCGAGUAAACCUGCGCCGAAAAUGAACGGGACUAAGUAAUUUGCCGAAACUGUGCGAUAUAUUAAAAUAUAUCGGUAGGGGAGCGUUCUGUUGUAGGUCGAAGUAUUAGCGUAAGCGGAUAUGGACGAAGCAGAAGUGAGAAUGUCGGCUUGAGUAACGAAAAUAUAGGUGAGAAUCCUAUACCCCGAAAACCCAAGGUUUCCUCCGGAAGGCUCGUCCGCGGAGGGUAAGUCAGGACCUAAGGCGAGGCUGAAAAGCGUAGUCGAUGGACAACGGGUUAAUAUUCCCGUACUACCGCAUAGAGCGAUGGGGUGACGGAGUAGUGAAAGUCUCGCGUACUGACGGAAUAGUACGUUGAAGGGUGUAGUUAAAGGCUGUGUAGGCAAAUCCGCACGGCUUGAUGAACCUGAUAGUACCACAAUGCUUCGGCAGCGUGGAUAGUAGACCUAAUCAGACUUCCAAGAAAAACCUCUAAGUAAUGUAUGUGGUACCCGUACCUCAAACCGACACAGGUAGUCAAGGAGAGAAUCCUGAGGUGCUCGAGUGAUCCGUGGCUAAGGAACUAGGCAAAAUGGCCCUGUAACUUCGGGAGAAGGGGCGCUUCCUCUGGCGACAGAGAAGCCGCAGUGAAUAGGCCCAGGCGACUGUUUAGCAAAAACACAUGGCUUUGCGAAAUCGAAAGAUAAAGUAUAAGGCCUGACACCUGCCCGGUGCUGGAAGGUUAAGGGGG
rnacentral:rRNA from 13 species